rnacentral:rRNA from 1 species
UGCUUAUCUUACUUGCCAAUUAGUGGGGGAUAACUCUGGUGCGCCAGAACUAAUACCGCAUUUGUUGCUUCGGCAAUGAAAGGGAAUCGCAAGAUUUUCGCUAAUUGAUAGGGAUAAGUCGUAUUAGUUUGUUGGUGGGGUAAUGGCCUACCAAGACGAUGAUGCGUAGCCGGGCUGAGAGGCUGAUCGGCCACAAGGGAACUGAGACACGGUCCCUACUCCUACGGGAGGCAGCAGUGAGGAAUUUUCGGCAAUGGGGGAAACCCUGACCGAGCAAUACUACGUGAAGGAGGAAGGUCUACGGAUUGUAAACUUCUGUUAGUGCGGAAGAAGGGCUGAAUGCAAGUUCAGCCUUGACGGUACGCACAGAGAAAGCCACGACUAACUACGUGCCAGCAGUCGCGGUAAGACGUAGGUGGCGAACGUUAUCCGGAAUUAUUGGGCGUAAAGGGUGCGUAGGCGGCGGAAUAAGUUAGUGGUGGAAAAUCGGGGCUCAACCUCGUGGAAGUCAUUAAUACUGUUUUGCUAGAGGACAGGAGAGGUUAACGGAAUUCCCUGUGGAGCGGUAAAAUGUGUAGAUAUAGGGAAGAACACCAAUAAGGCGAAGGCAGUUAACUAUUCUGUUCCUGACGUUGAGGCACGAAAGCGUGGGGAGCAAAUAGGAUUAGAUACCCUAGUAGUCCACGCCCUAAACGAUGAGUGCUAGACAUUGGAAACUUGAUUUUCAGUGUCGCUAGAUAACUCGGUAAGCACUCCGCCUGGGUAGUACGCUCGCAAGAGUGAAACUCAAAGGAAUUGACGGGGACUCGCACAAGCACUGGAGCAUGUGGUUUAAUCCGAUGCAACGCGUAGAACCUUACCAAGGCUUGACAUGUUUGGCAAAACUGUGGAAACACAGCGGAGGUUAUCCAAACACAGGUGCUGCAUGGCCGUCGUCAGUUCGUGCCGUGAGGUGUAUGGUUAAGUCCUAUAACGAACGCAACCCUUGGGCUUAGUUGCCAGCAUUCAGUUGGGGACUCUAGGCCGACUGCCUGAGUAAUCAGGAGGAAGGAAAGGAUGAAGUCUGAUCAUCUCUGC